rnacentral:rRNA from 1 species
ACGCUCGACACCUACGGGGGCAGCAGUGGGGAAUAUUGCACAAUGGGGGAAACCCUGAUGCAGCGACGCCGCGUGAGUGAAGAAGUAUUUCGGUAUGUAAAGCUCUAUCAGCAGGGAAGAAGAUGACGGUACCUGAGUAAGAAGCCCCGGCUAACUACGUGCCCGCAGCCGCGGUAAUCUGAGCGGGCUGGCAAGGC